rnacentral:tRNA from 1 species
GCUGACGGGUCCAAAAGUUAAGGAGAUUGACUUGAAUGCCACUGCUUUGAGAUAUCAAUUACCCUAGGGUGCGCAGGUUCGAAUCCUGUCUUCAGCG